UGGGGAAUCUUGGACAAUGGGGGCAACCCUGAUCCAGCCAUGCCGCGUGAGUGAUGAAGGCCUUAGGGUCGUAAAGCUCUUUCGCCUGUGAAGAUAAUGACGGUAGCAGGUAAAGAAACCCCGGCUAACUCCGUGCCAGCAGCCGCGGUAAUACGGAGGGGGUUAGCGUUGUUCGGAAUUACUGGGCGUAAAGCGCACGUAGGCGGACCAGAAAAGUUGGGGGUGAAAUCCCGGGGGCUCAACCCCGGAAACUGCCUCCAAAACUAUUGGUCUAGAGUUCGAGAGAGGUGAGUGGAAAUUCCAAGUGUAGAGGUGAAAAUUCGUAGAUAUUUGGAGGAACACCAGUGGCGAAAGGCGGCUCACUGGCUCGAUACUGACGCUGAGGUGCGAAAAGUGUGGGGAGCAAAACAGGAUUAGAUACCCUGGUAGUCCACAACCGUAAAACGAUGAAAAUGCCAAGUCGUCGGGUAGCAUGCUAUUCGGUGACAACACCUAA
rnacentral:rRNA from 1 species